rnacentral:lncRNA from 10 species
UGCAUCUAUUUGGUUAAUAGGGCAAGAUCAUGAGUGAAGACUAUCAGGAUCCUUCUAGUCCAUCAUCUAAGCCUGGUAAUUCCUCCUGGUCAGCAUAUCCUGUUAAUAUUAUAUGGCAUUUAGGAUAACUUUGAAAUAGACUUUUUUUCUGAAUUUUUAUGUAUUGCUUUAAAAUAUCCAUUUUAUAUUGACAGACAUUAAAAUAAGUCUCUCUUUUAACAAUGCAGUGCUCAAGAUGAGACUUUAUUUCCCCGCAUUAAUGCAAUGGCCUUAUUCUCCGUUCCCACAAUGGACUCAAGCAGUCAAUGAUUGGUUAAAUUGUUCAUUCUGCCUCUUGCCUGGGAGGCUUUUGCUGUGAGCAUGCAUCAAGCACAAAAUCUGACUGCCAUGGAACAUUAAACAGGUGGCAGGUCCUGUCAACUGAUUGUGGAAGGAAAAUGAGAAUUUCAGAUGCCUGCUGAGAUCUGUGGAUGGAGUACUUUGUCCACAGGGCACUGAGCUCUGGCCAAACCAAAGACUUGUACUGCAUAGAUGUUCUUCAAUCUCUAUAGCUGGGAACUCUCUUCUUUUUGUAGUGCUUGCCCAUUGUAGAUGUUUAAUAAGUUUGCAUUACGUACAGGAGAAACUAUGAAAGUCCCUUAUAAAUAUAACAACCAUAAUGAUAAAAGGAAAUGUGUUUGCUUUUCCACAUACAUUC